rnacentral:rRNA from 1 species
UACAGAGGGGGCAAGCGUUGUUCGGAAUUACUGGGCGUAAAGGGCUCGUAGGUGGCCAACUAAGUCAGACGUGAAAUCCCUCGGCUUAACCGGGGAACUGCGUCUGAUACUGGAUGGCUUGAGUUCGGGAGAGGGAUGCGGAAUUCCAGGUGUAGCGGUGAAAUGCGUAGAUAUCAGGAGGAACACCGGUGGCGAAGGCGGGUCUCUGGGCCGAUACUGACGCUGAGGAGCGAAAGCGUGGGGAGCGAACAGG